rnacentral:lncRNA from 1 species
AAAUUUCAAGCUAAUUUCUAGUUUAGUAGCUGGUUUGCAUUUCCUAGUUCAAUUUCUGGUAUUUGAAGUUUCAGAGGUGUUACUGAUUGGAUUUCGAGUCAGUUUUGGUUUCAAUUGAGUCAUGUUGGGUUUAACUAUUGGGUGUUGUAUUUCUAUGAAGUAUUCCUGGGUUUUUGUGAAGUGAUUUUGGUUAAAAACUGUUCUUAUUGUUGUUGUCUGGGAUUGCUGGAUUCUAGUUGUUGCUAAUUGCUGCUGACUUACUUCUCUUUCAAUUUUCAUUCGAAUCCAG